AGAGCGGGGUCCCGGCACCGCGGCGCUCGGGUUUUUUUGGGGGCCCGGGUGGAGGGCCCGGGUGCCGGGGCCCAAGGUGCGGCCUCGCUAGCGGGAGAGGGAGCGGGAUCACCGGCCCGGAGAGAGCUCUCAGGGCCAGAGCGGGGCAGGAGGAUGCUUUCCCAGCCCCACCAUGGAGCUGCGCUGUGGGGGAUUGCUGUUCAGUUCUCGCUUUGAUUCAGGGAAUCUAGCCCACGUGGAGAAGGUGGAAUCUUUGUCCAGUGAUGGGGAAGGGGUAGGAGGUGGGGCGUCAGCCCUGACCAGUGGCAUUGCCUCUUCCCCUGACUAUGAAUUCAACGUGUGGACCCGACCAGACUGUGCUGAAACGGAAUUUGAGAAUGGGAACAGGUCAUGGUUCUACUUCAGCGUCCGGGGAGGAAUGCCAGGAAAACUCAUCAAGAUCAACAUUAUGAACAUGAACAAGCAGAGCAAGCUGUAUUCCCAGGGCAUGGCCCCCUUUGUGCGCACACUGCCCACCCGGCCACGCUGGGAACGCGUUCGAGACCGGCCCACCUUUGAGAUGACAGAGACGCAGUUUGUGUUAUCCUUUGUUCAUCGUUUCGUGGAGGGCCGUGGGGCCACCACCUUCUUCGCCUUCUGCUACCCCUUCUCCUACAGUGACUGCCAGGAACUGCUAAACCAGCUAGACCAGCGCUUUCCGGAGAACCACCCUACCCAUAGCAGCCCCCUGGAUACCAUCUAUUACCAUCGGGAGCUCCUUUGCUAUUCUCUGGAUGGACUUCGUGUAGAUCUGCUGACGAUCACUUCCUGCCAUGGGCUUCGAGAAGAUCGAGAGCCCCGUCUAGAGCAGCUAUUUCCUGAUACCAGCACCCCUCGACCAUUUCGUUUCGCAGGCAAGAGGAUAUUCUUCUUAAGCAGUAGAGUACACCCAGGGGAGACUCCAUCUAGCUUUGUCUUCAAUGGCUUUCUGGACUUCAUCCUCCGACCUGAUGAUCCCCGGGCCCAAACCCUCCGUCGCCUCUUCGUCUUUAAGCUGAUUCCCAUGUUGAACCCCGAUGGUGUGGUCCGGGGACACUACCGGUAAGUGGCUUCCCCAGCCUGUCUGGACUGUUCCCAUUUCCCCUCAUGCCCUGCAUCUCAGUGAAAUUCUGUCAGCCUUCUGGCUUCUCCUGUGUUCCCAGUCCUCUUGCACCCUAAUAAAGGCAAGCCCAUCUCAUCUUCCUGAGAAAGCAUGAGAUCAUAUCUAGUGGCACUCCCAGAAAGGAACCAAACUAGGAUGACUGCAGGCCCAUCUGGGUGGAGGCAGCUACCCUGAGGAAGCUCCUUAGGGUUCUAUGCACAGACUCACGUGGAGUGAAUCUGAACCGUCAGUACCUGAAGCCUGAUGCCAUCCUGCACCCGGCCAUCUAUGGGGCCAAAGCUGUGCUUCUCUACCACCAUGUGCACUCUCGUCUGAACUCCCAGAGUUCCUCUGAGCACCAGCCCAGUCCCUGUCUCCCUCCUGAUGCUCCUGUUUCUGACCUGGAGAAAGCCAACAAUCUCCAAAAUGAAGCUCAGUGUGGGCACUCAGCUGACAGGCAUAACGCUGAAGCCUGGAAACAAACAGAGCCAGCAGAACAGAAGCUCAACAGUGUGUGGAUUAUGCCACAACAGUCUGCGGGGCUUGAAGAGCCAGCCCCUGAUACCAUCCCCCCCAAAGAGAGUGGCGUUGCUUACUAUGUGGACCUGCAUGGACAUGCUUCCAAAAGGGGCUGCUUCAUGUACGGAAACAGCUUUAGUGAUGAGAGCACCCAGGUGGAAAACAUGCUAUAUCCAAAGCUCAUCUCCUUGAAUUCAGCCCACUUCGACUUCCAGGGCUGCAAUUUCUCAGAGAAGAAUAUGUAUGCCCGAGACCGUAGAGAUGGCCAGUCUAAAGAGGGAAGCGGCCGUGUUGCAAUCUACAAAGCCUCAGGGAUAAUCCACAGGUUGGGUGGAAGCUGAGAUAUAGUUGAUGAAAUAGCUUCCCUAAAGAAAACACCGUAGCUGGGUGUGGUGGUGCAUGCUUGUAAUCCCAGCUACUGAGGAGGCUGAGGCAGGAGAAUCGCUUGAACCUGGGAGGCAGAGGUUGUGGCGAGCCGAGAUCGCGCCAUUGCACUCCAGCCUGGGCAACAAGAGCGAAACUCCGUCUC
rnacentral:sRNA from 1 species